AUAAACUAUAGAGUUUAAAUGGAGUAAUAUGUCCUGAAGUUUCUCACCCGCCUUUCAAAAUUUAUUAAUUAAUUUUGAGAGAGUUAUUUUGAGAUAAGAAGUAUUCUUCCAGUUGAAGGUUUUCUCAGUUGAAGGGUUUGUAGUCUUACAACCCUCAAGGAAUGAAAUCGUGGACCACCGCGGCAAGUGUUACUACUCCAUUAGAGAAAUGCGCAGACCCAAAGAGUGUACCCUGGCACGAUUUACUUAAGUGAAAGCAAACAAAGCAAAAGCAAUAGUAAAGUUUCCAUGGGGUGGAAGUGGACCCCGAAGGGUUGCCGUUUCUGGCUUGGGUGUUUUAUGCUUAUAUCCCCUUCUGGCUCCUCCCUUUCUCCUUUUUCUGCUCUAUAGGAUUAGUUCAUUUUCCAUCCGCUUGUGGGUUGGCGGGCCUGAUUGGUUAAAAACAUCAGGCAGCAGCGAGAGCUUAAACUCCCUAUAUGAUUGGUUAUGUGUCCAGAAUUGGUUCCUUCCGGUGGGUUCUUGGUCUCACUGACUUCAAGAAUGAAGCCAUGGACCCUCGCGGUGAGUGUUACGGUUCUUAAAGAUGGCAUGUCUGGAAUUUGUUCCUUCAGAUGUUCGGAUGUGCCCGGAGUUUCUUCCUUCUGGUGGGAUCCUGGUCUUACUGACUUCAGGAGUGAAGCCGCAGACCUUCACAAACAGGGUGAAGAUUCUUUAGAGUAGUGUCUCUGUCACUACUGCUGUCGAAAAAAUCUCCAUGAUCUUCUUUGAGAAAAAGGACCUUCACCUAACUCAAUGUGGUCUGAAGCGUCUGCAAAAACUUUGAUUCCAAAUUGAGUUUCUUUGCAUCAUUUACAUCUUGAAUGGGAACACACACGGAAAUGAACAUAAUUGUGACUUGACACUUUUAAUUUUAAUUGGAAUGCUAAAUGAAGAACUAAUCAAGGAAAUCCAGGAGACUUCUCCCAUUUCUGAAGAACUGUCUAGAGAUGUUUGGAACCACAGUUGCUUUUGAUCUGUGCCAUUUUGGGCUUCUUUGAUGAAUGAUGUCAAAUGUCUUUUUUGUUUUACUCCCUUUGAAGAACCAUGCCAUUUUUCAUCAAAGCCCAAUUCAACCCUGACGUUUUAUUCCAAUGUAUGUGCCAAGAAGAGAUCUGGAUGUUGGAUAAGUGCUUCCCUUUAUUCUAAGUGUGGGAGGGGGUUUAAAAUAUCUUGAAAAAGAGCUCCCCAACUUUUCUACAUUUGGGGAAGCCUCAGUAAUGAGAAAUUACCAUUUUGUUGUUGUUGUUGUUGUUGUAAUAGAUCCUAAAACAUUCAAUUUCAUAGCAUUAAUGCAAUUGACUCUAAGGUGCAAUUUUACUCAUGAUCAAAGAAAAAUGCCAAGGAGUGACAGAGUUAUUUUGCAAGAACUCUCCCCCCAUUCAUAUGGGGAUACUUGAUUUGUUUGGAAAAAAAAAUAGUCUUUGAUGUAAGCCAUGAUAGUAUAUUUUUAAUGACAGUUUUCAUGGUGAUGCUUUUGGCUCAACC
rnacentral:lncRNA from 1 species